rnacentral:rRNA from 1 species
UAAAUAACAAUGCAGGGCCUUUAUGGUCUUGCAAUUGGAAUGAGAACAAUUUAAAUCCCUUAUCGAGUAACAAUUGGAGGGCAAGUCUGGUGCCAGCAGCCGCGGUAAUUCCAGCUCCAAUAGCGUAUAUUAAAGUUGUUGCAGUUAAAAAGCUCGUAGUUGAACCUUGGGCAAGACAAGCGGUGCGUCGCAAGACGCGACUGUGCGUUGCGCCUCGAAUGGGGGAGACAGCUUCUGGCUGUGCGAACCCGGGUUACUGUGAAGAAAUUAGAGUGUUUAAAGCAGGCGUUUGCUUGAAUACAUCAGCAUGGAAUAACAAGAUAGGACUAGAGUUCUACUUGUUGGUUUGGGGGCUUUAGUAAUGAUUAAUAGGGCCAGUUGGGGGCAUUAGUAUUCAGUAGUCAGAGGUGAAAUUCUUGGAUUUACUGAAGACUAACUAGUGCGAAAGCAUUUGCCAAGGAUGUUUUCAUUAAUCAAGAACGAAAGUUAGGGGAUCGAAGACGAUCAGAUACCGUCGUAGUCUUAACUAUAAACGAUGCCGACUAAGGAUUGGCAAGAGUCGUGAGCGACCUUGUCAGCACUUUGUGAGAAAUCAAAGUAUUUGGGUUCUGGGGGGAGUAUGGUCGCAAGGCUGAAACUUAAAGGAAUUGACGGAAGGGCACCACCAGGAGUGGAGCCUGCGGCUUAAUUUGACUCAACACGGGAAAACUCACCAGGUCCGGACAUAGUAAGGAUUGACAGAUUGAGAGCUCUUUCUUGAUUCUGUGGGUGGUGGUGCAUGGCCGUUCUUAGUUGGUGGAGUGAUUUGUCUGGUUAAUUCCGAUAACGAACGAGACCUUAACCUGCUAACUAGCAGCGUGUACGUGAGUAUGCGACGCUUCUUAGAGGGACUGACUAUGGUUAAUAGUCGGAAGUUUGAGGCAAUAACAGGUCUGUGAUGCCCUUAGAUGUUCUGGGCUGCACGCGCGCUACACUGACAAAGGCAGAGAGUGUACCUUGGCCGAGAGGUCUGGGAAAUCUUGGAAACUUUGUCGUGCUGGGGAUAGAUCAUUGCAAUUAUUGGUCUUGAACGAGGAAUUCCUAGUAAGCGCAAGUCAUCAGCUUGCGUUGAUUACGUCCCUGCCCUUUGUACACACCGCCCGUCGCUACUACCGAUUGAAUGGCUUAGUGAGGC